GCUAAUACCGGAUAACAACAGAUGAUGCCUAUCAACUGUUUAAAAGAUGGUUCUGCUAUCACUCUUGGAUGGACCUGCGGUGCAUUAGCUAGUUGGUAGGGUAACGGCCUACCAAGGCGAUGAUGCAUAGCCGAGUUGAGAGACUGAUCGGCCACAUUGGGACUGAGACACGGCCCAAACUCCUACGGGAGGCAGCAGUU
rnacentral:rRNA from 1 species